AUUUCGCACUUUCUCACUUUAGUAUCCUGUGGUUUAAAGUCUAUUAAGUUAGUACUCCGUGGUUUUAUUUUUGCAUCAAGUUAGUACCCUGUGGUUUUAUUUUUGUAUUAAAUUAGUACCCUAAACCACAGAAUACUAAAGUGAGAAAGUGCGAAACCACAGGGUACUAACUUGAUACACUUUAAACCACAGGGUAUUAAAGUGAGAAAGUGCGAAACCACAGGGUACUAACUUGAUACAUUUUAAACCACAGGGUACUAAAGUGAGAACGAGUGAAACCACAAAGGGAGUUUUUUGAAGUUUUCCCUAAAAAUA
rnacentral:lncRNA from 1 species